UCUUCUCUUCUCUCCUCUCCUCUCCUCUUCUCUUCUCUUCUCUUUUCUCUUCUGUUCUCGUUCUUCUUGGGUUGGUUUUGUGUGGAGGCAGUGAGCUGGAUCAUCCCCAGCAGAGUGGAAACUACCUGCUGAACACACUCAGGUGUGAAUCCUGUGAUAAAACACUGACUGUUUGUCUCCAUCUGUUCGUCUUCACGUCUUAAACCUGGUAUUAAAGCUCCGUCCCCCCGGUCCUCCUCCUGCUUUUUCCAUCUUCACCCCUCGCUGUUCUUUAAAGGUUAAUUUGUCCGGAUGACCUGCUGUGUCUCGGCUCCGUCUUUGUUCUGCUGCUCUGACCUUUACCUGAUCUCAGAUCUGUUUCUGCUCUUUACUGGUGAGAACAUCGCCUCAGAUCUGGAUGUUCCUCCUGCAGGAUCGGUUAUAUCAGACAGGAACGUGGAGGAACUGAUCCCAGGACAGUUUAAAGGUCUGAACAUCUCCACGGCUCCUAAAACAAUCGAUCACCAGAUGAAACACGGAUUUAUACGGUUCUGUUUGGAGAACAAACUUCAGACCUGCAGGCAGUUCAAGGAGAAGCUUCAGAACAAAAAACAGAAUCACAAAACAGUUUUAACGAAGACUUAAGAAAAAAUGUUCCCAUUUCUUGAGCCUCUGUUUAUAUUUAAAAAAGAAAGUUUUGCAGAACGAGCCAGAAAAAGGAGCAAAGAUAACCAAAUAUUUGAAUUUUAUCCUUUUAUGAAUAGAUUUUUUGUUCUAAAUCUAAAAACCUGUAAGAAGCUAAGAUUAAUUUUCAGGCUUUUAUUUUGAUGCACCCACCAAAAUAAAAGUGCUAACGUGGAACCAACAAUGGUUCUUCAAUUUGAUUCCCUUAAAGAGACUCUUUCCAUGGGAGGUUCUGUAAAGCUAAAGUUCUUCAGAUAGUUCUUUAAAGAACCCCCAAAGGUGCCUAAAAGAACUCUUUAAAAGCAUUCCAUUUGGUGCCAUGAAUAGUGCUCCAAAGAACUUUAAAAAUAGGUUCUUUGAGGAACCAUUUAUUCAGACAAUUCUUUAAAGAACCCUCAAAGGUUCUACAAAGAACCGUAAGAAAUUUUUUUCUUUAGGCACCUUAAAAACACUCCAAAGAACUUUAGCAAAAAUAGGUUAUUUUUGGAACCAUUUUAGGAACCAGUGCCUAAACAGACAAUGGUCUAGUGUAACAGGGUCGAUUAUACAGUGAUAUAUAAGUGUGUGUAUAUGGAAUAUGUUGUACAUUAGUUAUUGUGAUAAUUACACAAAAUCUGUGUCUGUUGGGUUUGUUUGUUUGUUUAUUUUUGUUUCACUUAAUGCCUGACUAGUUGAGCCUCCUUGUCAGUAAGUGGAACUUUGGUUUGGGUUUGUACCACUACAGUCACAUUCUAUGUAACACCGCCCUCUAUAAGUGCCAUUCUCGCGCCAAUUCUCUCCCCUUUUGUCGCUGAUUUCUGUGGGAGAGGUAAGCGGCUUUGCAGUCUGGGGAAAUUUCUGUUCUAGCUAGAUUAAACUUGUUACGAGAUGCUCACUUUGUUAUUAUUUGAUCUGUGUAGGGGCGUGUGUUGUAGCGAUCACUGACAGGAGAAUUUUGUGUUUCUACUUUAAUGUCAGGAGCUGGAAAAUAAAUGGAGACGGCCUCCAAAAAAGAUGCACGCCUGAAUUUUUGCUAGCACACAUAACGCAGAGACAGAAACACACCGGUCACACUAGCACAUUAAAUGGCGCUCCAUAGAACUUGAGGAAUUAUUUCAGUAACAGAACUUGAUAAUUAUUUAGGUCGUCCUUAAGCAAAAAAGUAAGAAUUUGGUUUCUCCUAUUAGAACCAGUUUAAUAUUUUGAGUUCUGGACUUUUGGUGACAGAACAGCAUGUUCUAAGAUGCCAGCUUUGGAUUCUGGAAACUGUAAUGGACUUUUCUUACUGUUUUCUGAUGUUUUAUCAAUCAAUAACCUUAAGUACUUUAAAGAACCCUAUAAAGUACCUCUACACUGUCUGUGGAUAGUUUUAUAGUUCCGACUUUGUCACAGCUGAGUUCUACAGUAAAAUCAUAGAACUGUGGACGAAUCAUUCAUAAAGUCACAUCGGAGUGUUUGGUGUCAAUCAGAGAACGUUCACUUGACGUUCUCACGAUUGACAGAUGUUCUACCAGUGAUGAGCUGUUCCCAUGACGACCUAAUGAGGUCUCCUAAUGUUUGAUGGUAUCAGCCGACUCGGUGUGGAACUCGUCUUUGUUCUUCGUCCUGACGGAGCGCCGGCAGUAUUUUUAACAUCUCAGAGGUGCCAACUGAGUGUGGAAACUAUUUGUGGACCGAUAAUGAUGUUCCUGCCACGGAGCCGAGAAAAAAAAUGUGAGAACACAUGAGACGGUUUAAAGUAGGAACAAGUUUAGUCGACCAGAGAAGAGACGUAAAUAACACAGAACAAGUUUAAUCAAGCAGAGAACUUCACUGAGAGUCUGGAAUAAAGGUGCACUGGUGCUGCACAAGAACCAUUUAAAGUUCCACAAAAGCAAAAGGUUCUUAAAGAAAACAUUUUUUCGAAUUGAUUCUUGGUGGACCCCCAAAGAUGCCUUAAAGAACCAUCAUAAAAUGCUUCCUAGAGGCAUCAUAACAAUCACUCCAAUGAACUUUAGUAAACAUCUUUUAAUCAUCUUUAAAUGGUUCUUUAGGAAACCACUGAAGGUUCCUCAAACCACCUUUAAAAAACAGAACACUUUUCAGCAUAAAUGGUGCUCCAAAGAACUUCAGUGAAAAUAGAUUCUUUAAGAAAGCCCAACAGGUGCCUCAAAGAACCACCAGAAAGGGGUUCUUCACUACACCAGAAAUGGUACUCCAAGGAAUUGUCACAAAAAUAGGUUCUUUAUGGAAUCUCUGAAGAUGUCUUGAAGUACCAUCAAAAAUGUUUUUUUUUAAUAUUAUUUGAAAAAUGCUUUUCAAGGAACCAUAAAUGGUGCCCCAAAGAACUUUCAUAGAGAACAGGUUCUUCUCUACUGUACAGACGUUUAGCAAAAAUACAUUCUUGAAGAAAGUGUUUCUUUAAAUGGUUCUCCAAAGAACCGUUGAAGGUGCCUCAAGAAGCUAUCAGAAAUGUUUCCAUGAGGCAACAUGAAUGGAUCUCCUUAGAACCUUGGCAAAAAUAGAUUCUUUCGCAGUGUUUAUUGGGUCGGUUUCUUAAAAAUCCACAAACAUGCCUUAAAGAACCACCAUAAAUGGUACUCCGAGUAUUUUUUCGCAAAAACAGGUUCUUUACUGCAUCAUUUCUUCAUGGUACUUUGAGGCACAUUUGGUAGUUCUCAAAGGAACCGUUCAAUGGAAUGGUUUAUGAUAGAACCUAUUUUUGAUAAAGUUCUUCCAAAAUCAACCAAAAUCCAGCGAAUUUCCUUGGAUUUUGGUUGAUUUUUAUGUGAAAGUUCUUAAAGAGAAUAUUAGAAGUUUUACUGAUAUAUAUGGAAUCACUUUGGAUAUUUUUAGGAUUUUUUGGAAGAUUUUUAUUCAUUUUUUAAAAAUAUUUACAUUUUUUUAAAAUUAUUUUUUGAAUUUUUAUUUCUUAAAAAAAUAUUUUUUAAGGGAAACUUUUAAAGAAUUUUCUUCCUGAAGGUUGUGCAAUUUUUUUUAUAAAUUUGAGGAGUUUUUUUGCUAAAUUUUUGGAUUUUCUUCAGAUGAAGGAACAAUAUUUUUUGCUGUCCGUAAAUGAGGACAGCAGGAGGGUUAAGGGGCUUCAGUCAAAAUAGCUUCUCUAAAGAACCAUUUGGUUCAUUUAGGAACCCCCAGAGGUUUCUAAAGACGGCCGAUUUUUUUUAACUGAAAGUGUGUCCAGGUGAGAUCCUUCCUUUGUUUUUAUUUAUUUCUAUUUCUGUGUACAUUUCUGUAUUUGAGUGGGUUUUUUUCAUUGUUGUGUUUAAAGUAGAGAAAAUGAAAGUUGGUCAAUAAUUAUUCAUGUCGGCUAAAAUUAAACAUUCUGUUUAUUUUUAAGUACAACUACAUUUCUAACUUCUCUUUUUGAAAUCAAAACAUGCAAAGUAAAUCCUUGUUUUUUUUCCCCGUGUCGUUUUGAACACGCGUGUUUAUUACAUGUCGCAGCUGGAGGAUGCAUGUACCCUCCGUUACCGUGGCAACCUGUGGUUUCCAUGGCGGUUUGGGCUCACACAGAGGAGGAUGCUGCUCCCCUUCACACCGUGGUGAAUCCACUCAGGUUUCUGUCUUGCAGAAGGUCUUUGUUCAGCUACAUGUCGUCACUUCACAGAUAAAAAUACCACAAACAACAUUUCCUUCACCACAAAACUCUGCUGGAAACAUUCAGUCACGAAACAAUACUCACGUCAUCAGAAUAAUCACCAGGUAAACCUUUAAAAACAGAAAAUUACUCCGAUAUCAAAGAACGUUUACGGUUCUGCACAUAUUCAUGUUUUAUGCCUCUGGGCCCGAAGAUUUAAUCUGACUAAUAAACUCCCAAACCUUCCAGAUGAGGGUUCAGUCCAGCUGAGAUCUAAACUAAGGCUUUGGUCAGGAACCUUCGUCCUGCUGGAGAACCGUCUGCAGAACGGGUCUCUGAGUGUUUCUGGAACGUUCCACGGCGGAUCGCCAACCUCCGGCCGUUCUCAUGUCCGGCAGCAGAGCAGCUUGUGAAAGACGUUCCUGAACUCGGCAUUGAAGGCUGUGUAGAUGAUCGGGUUGACAGCGCUGUUGACGUAGCCGAGCCACGUUACCACGGAGAUGAGGGUGGGACCGAUGUCACAUGACCCACAGGACACCUUGGUGACGUGGACGACGAAGAACGGCGUCCAGCAGGCCAGGAACACACCUGAGACACAGAGACAGGAAGACUUUAGCUAAAGGUUCUCAACCCUCGUGUCGUCCUGCGGGUCAAAAUUGACCCGUUUUAAAGUUUGAAAAUGUGGAGAAAAAUAUAUUUUCACAGUGAAACUUCUGAUGUCCACAUUUUCAACAUUUUUGGGAAAUCUUUGAACAGUUUUUGGUGGAAAAAAAAGAAAUGUUAAAAAUGUUUCUUAAGAACAUUCACAAAAAAAUCAACCAAAAUCCAGUGAAUUUCGCUGGAUUUUGGUUCAUUUUUAUGUGAAUGUUCUUAAAGAAAAUAUUAGAAGUUUUACUGAUGUAUAUGGAAUCACUUUAGAUAUUUUUAGGAUUUUUUUGGAAGAUUUUUACUCAUUUUUUGAAAAUAUUUACAAGAAUUUUCUUGCCAAAUUUGGGGGAUUUUUUAAAAAUAAAACUUUUAAGGGAAACUUUUAAGGAAUUAUUGGAAUUUUCUUCCUGAAUGUUUUGCAAAUUUUCAGAAAUUUGUUGAAUUUUUUUGCUGAAUUUUGGGAUUUUUUUUGGACAAAGAAAAAAAUUUUUGGUGCCUGUAAAUGAGGACAACAGGAGGGUUAAAGGAUUUUCUAAAAGCCACCCGAUGGUGGUGCAAGGAACCAUCAAAAAUUUUUCUUUAUGCACCAUACAUGGCGGUCCAAAGAUAUUUAGCAAAAAUAGGUUAUUAAAGGAACCAUUCUUUAAACGGUUCUUCAAAGAACCCCUUAAAGGGCCACAGCAUAAAUGGUGCUACAAAGGCCUUUCAUAAAAAAAUUGUUUCAGUUUGAAGAAGAUGUUUUUGCUAAAGUUCUUUGGAGAACCGUCUGAAUAUUUGGUUCCUUAAAGAACCACUUGAAGAAAUGCUUGUUUUCAAAAGUAACUGUAAUAAAAUGAAAAAGUGCUGAAGUUCUUUGGCGCACCAUUUACAGUUUCUACAAAACUGGGUGGUUGAAUUUUUCUUUGAGGCUCAUUUGGGGUUCUCCAAAGAACCUUGGUGCUUUAACAAGUUUUUUUUUUUUUGUUUUUUUUUUUGCUAAAGUUCUCUUUUUUAAGUAGGGUGCCUCAAGGAACUAUUUAUUGUGGUACCUUUGAGAGUUGUUUAAAAAACGGUUUGAAGAAAUGGUUUCUCAUUAAACCUAUUUUUGUUCUCUGGAGAACCACUUUUGGUGCUUGAAGGAACCCUUCUCUGACGGUUCUAUUCUAGGAACCUGUCAGUAACCUGUGUUUACAUGUAACCUCCUCCAGCUGUUGAUCCCCAGAUGUUCCUGAACGUCUUCGGCUCAUAUUCGGUGUUUCUUUGUGGAUCUAGGCCCGUUGAAGCGUCUUUGUUCUGCGGUUUGUGUUUAAACACCAUCGGGUGUGAAGCUGCUGCUGAGAACUGAAGCCGUUUCCAAGGAGACGAUAGAAGAACGUUCUAUUUUUACUGGAGCAUCACAGCUUCCCUCCCAGUUUCAGUAAAACACCAGAAACAGUUUGUGGAGAUGUCCAGCUGAGAGGUGCUCAGUAAACGGUUUUCAUCUCCAUCACGUUCUGCUCCUUCCUGAGGUUCCACACCAUUAACUGUGUGGAAUGACUUCGUAGCAGAUGACGUGGAACCUUCAAUUUCAGCCUGAGUGAUGAGUUUGUUCAUGAUCAUUUGUGUCCGUUUUAAUGUUUUCACAGACGCAGCAACCAAAACAUUUCAUCAGUUUAUUAUUUCCAGAUAGAAUGUUCUGUUGUUGAUCUUUUUAAUGUUGUUCUGUUGUUAUUGUUUUUACUGAUGUUUUAUUUCUUUUAGUUUUAUUUAAUGUGUUCUGUAUUUUAAUGCUUUGUGAAGCAGUUGAAACGUGCUAUAGAAAUAAGGUUCAUUAUUAUUAUUAUUUUCCAUAAUUAACUUCAUUUUCUAGCUCUGUUCCAUGAAAAUGUGUUUUUUUUGUGUUUGUAAAGUUUAAUGAAGGAUAUUUAGACGUGUAAAAUGAAGAAAUUAUCUGUUAGUUCUUAAACAUUAUAAGAUGAUAAAAAGUAUAUUUUUAUGUAUUUUAGGUAAAUGUGGUUCCUUAAAGAACCACUUGAAGAAAUGCUUAUUCUAGGAAGCAAUAUUAAUCAAAAAUUAACAGGUAAUAAAGGUUUUGGAGCACCA